rnacentral:lncRNA from 1 species
CUCCACUAACAAAACUGAUUAAAUUCCUAAGAACAAUCCAUAGGAGAAAAUACAUAUUUCUCAGGCUAUUAUUUAAAGGUCUUCAUAAUCCACUCAGUGCAUACCUUUCCAUUCUUAUCUCCCACUACUCCCCUUUGUGGAAAGGAAACAAGACUGACAGUUUGUGGGGGAAGGGCCCAAGUGGGAGUGGCAGUUGGGUCUUGUGACUAGCACUUCCUUCCUGCCGGGUGGGACUUGCAUCCUGGUGUUGGAGGAGAGGGGAGCUUGUUCAGCCCAGUCUGGAGAGGCAUGCUCUUCUUGGUUCAGCCGAAGACACAGGCUUCUAAAGGAGAAUCAACACCACUUAAGACACAUUGCUGGGGACUGGGAGAACAUAAUCUGGAUCUCCUGGCAAGUUGUGGCCAUGUGGGUGGCAAUCAAGGUUCUGUCUGCACAUUCAUCAAGAUUAGCAUUACCGGGACUUCCAAUCAAGAUGGUGGUGUAGAAGCAGCGAAAGUUCAGACCUCAGAAACCCUUCCCUACUGAUCGCAAACAGUGCUCCUAGGCCACCGAAAUUCAAGCUGAACAACAGGAUAGACCUGGGGAAACCUCCUCCUGGACCUGGAUCAAAAGGUACCACACCCCAAAAGCCAGAACCCUAGAUCACUCGGAUCUAAG